GAAUAGAUUCGGUGAGGGAAACGGAUUUGAAUGGAUAAUGCUGUUCCGUUUUCACCCUUGGCCAUAUCUUUGUGCAGUGCAACCCACUAACUAAAUAACAAGUUUUGCAGCAGAAUAACAAUAGCAGGCAAUCCUCUGUUAAUAUGCUGCAAAGAGCAUGUUCUCUUAUUUCUUCAAGUCGGUCAAAAUUUGCUUGGAGGUGCUCUAGAUUGCUCUGCUCAUCAAAGCUCUUGACUCAGGU
rnacentral:lncRNA from 1 species